AUAACGAGAGUGCAAGAAAAUGGGGAAAAUAUUAAGGUUAUUUGCGUGCUUUGUUCUUGUUUUUCUGGUGGUGAGCCACGAGGUACAAGCCGAUUGCUUCGACAAUUGCCUCGAGUUGUGUCGCACAAUUCAGAACCCCGAAUUCAUUUGUCUUCCCAAAUGUUUAGGUCUCAACUGUCUGAGAUCCAAUUCGGGAAAUGGAAAAUCCUGAAACGGAGGAUUGGAUGAACACCGGCAGGUCGAAAACCAUCACCGGAGAAUAUCAUAGCAAAGCUACGGCAGGUGGAACAAGAAUUGCCAUAAAAGCCCCAAUACUAAUGAAUCACAUCAACUUCUAAACUUCAAUAUUCUUGCAUUUAUUUAUUAAGGUAAAUGUACUAAUAAGUAAAUAUUUCAUUUAUUAAUCAUGAUAUGCAACGAAUAUAAUUUCAUAUUAAAUGGGAUUUGUGAAUGCAAAUAUAAAUUUAAACUUGAACAAUUUGUGAUUGCUACAACAAAUAAAGACUAUCGAAGUGGUAGUCUAAUUGGUUAAAA